GAGAAAGUGGCAGAUUGGUUUGUGAUUAACUUGAAAUUAAUCUAAGGGGGUUCAAUUCCCUCCUUUCUUA
rnacentral:tRNA from 1 species